AUGGAAGUAAUUUAAUAAAAAUACUGAGUUGUGGUUUCAGAUUUAUAGAUUUUCUAUCUUUCAUC
rnacentral:tRNA from 1 species